AGGAAAUGUUUUUUCUUCAUUUCUGAGAUAUCAAAUGCUAAAAGGUUAAAAGGGGCUGGGAAGGGAUUUUUUUAUUUAUCAGCGCUUAUGCAGUGAGGUGAAUGAAUAUGUAUUAAAUGACUUGGUCGUUGUGAUUCAGGAAAAAAACAUCAAGUCUUUCUUUCAAACAUAUAGUCCGUAUUAUUCAGUUCCAUUAAAGUCCGAGGAGGACGACAUGCCCAUGUUAACCCCAAGGCGACAGAAGGCAGCUUUGUGCCAUACAAUGUUGCUUUGUUUGUCUGUUGACAUAUUUUACAACACCGAGUAGUGGUUAGGACUCACUGGCAGGAUGAUGGUUUAGAUUUAGAUGUUGUUGUUUCUUUUUUUUCUAUAUUUACAAAAGAAAUUAGGAAUGAUACGUAUAAAGGCAAAGACACCUUUUACACACCCUCUUCUGGACAGAAAUGCCUGUAAAGGCUGUGUUAUACAUGUUGUCCUUGUUUCACAGUUCUUUAAGUUUUAACAAUAAUAACAAAACUCUACUUCACCCUCCAGUGCACGUCACUGACUUCGUUUAGCUAAACGCAUUAGCAUAUUGUUAUUUACAAAGUGGAUAAACUGCUUAUCUAUGUAAUUUCUUAUCGUGCACAGACAGCUGCUUAUGGUGGGUGCCCUUUUGCACAACUUCGUAACAUUUACAAAACGCAGUCUCAUUGGUUUUGUCUCCCUGGUAGAGUUCAAAAGUUAAAGAGUUGAAGAAUUCUGUAACUGUGGAGAGAAAUUUUUAUUCCUAAAAAUGUUUUUGUUUGUUCUACUUUAUUUUAGUCUAUUUGCCGUGUAUUAUAUUUCUGUAAUCUUUUCAUGACGUGCUUUCUUGGGCAGGUCUCCCAUGAUUUUAAUGCUAAGGGACUCAAUGAUUAAAUAAAGAUUUCAAAAAGUUAUAUCUGUAGAACAUUAACAGAACAACGUGAUAUUUUAGUAGAGUGUCAGUUAGAUGAAGUUGUGUCUUCAUCAUUGACUCAUUUUUUUCACCACAUUUUCAAAUAAACUUUUUGCACUUGUUUUUUUUUUUAAUGUAAGCAGUGGUAAACUCUUCUGGCAACUGCAGAGGAUGGGUUUCAUUUUCUCCCUUCAACUAAGUUUUCAAAACAGCACCAACAAUGCUACCAGAAACCGCUUUUUGAAGAAGUAACUGGACCUGUAAAGCAGUGUCACUUUCAUAUUGACAGUAGUGUGGGAAAAAACUUUGUUCAGCUUUUUUACAUCUUACUUAAUAAAACUAGGUUACCACUGUCUACUUUAAGUACACUGUAAAAUGUAAUAUUGUGCUUAAUUAAAAAUAUUAAAUAGGCUGAACUCAAUUUUUAUCAAUUUGUUAUUAGAACUCAAUUUAAAUAACUUACCAGUACUUUUUAUGCAAAAACGCUGAUAAACUCGAUUAAUUUGAGCUGUCCUAACUUAGAAAAACUAAGUAAGCUGGAAGUUUUGCUUCUCUGGGCGGAAGGAUGAAAGAUGUGUUUUGAAAAUGCCACGUGACUACCGUCCUCCUCCCUCGCGGAUCAGUCCGCAUGUUCACGGUGCCAGCAUUUGUUAUGGAAUAUGUUGAGCAAACCCGGAGAAGCGUCAGCUCAAGAGACUAUUGUUGUCAUUGCUGUGGAUCUUUACCUGAUACACUGACUUGGCUCGGGACCAGCACUCCUGUUGUUGGACAGAAAGACAUCAACUCAGUGACUUGAGAUAUGACUGCACUAUGCUGUUGCUGUGACUCCAGUUAAUUCUACAAGACAUGCUGUGACAACAGGAGAGAUGAGUCCUCCAUCACAGAUGGUGUGGUCAGUGAAGAUGGUCGCCUGCAGGUUCAAGCUCAUUGCAUCUCCGACCCACAUCCACUGCCACUGUACUUAAGGGAAGUUAAAGACUUUCUUCUGCACCUACAUUUGGAUCACCUCGAUCCAUGAUAGUCAUUCAGGCAGUAAUGCCUGGACUGGAAACAAGCCAUCCUUAAAAUAAUACAACAUUCCAGCUCCUGUGUUGGAAUGGAAAACAAAUGUGUUGUUUAAAUUAGAGACUGCACUUGUGACAGAACAACAAAUAUUUUAUUUUGAUUAUAUAAGUAAUGUAAGUACAAAACAAACUUGUGGUAGGCCUAAACUUAUUUUCAGAAUAAUUACAUCUGAGACUUUGUUUCAUUGUAAGAUUAUAACAGUGAUGGCAAUAUAAUUGUUUGUUGUUCAGCAGAACAGUGUCCAGUAUGUUGGCUGUUGUACUUUGUUGUGUUUGAAAAUAAAAGUUGGGCUCAUUUUAACAUCAUUACAAAAAUUGUUGUUAAUUAUUUUUAAUCAUAUUCAGGUUACCACAAAUUGUUUUUUCAUUUAGUUGAACUUGAAAUGUUUGUCAGUAGGUAAACAAUUAGUAUUGUCAGAAAGUCAGAAAUAUCAAGUUAUUCUUAAUACUACAGACUUGCAAUGUAUAAGUUGUCCUAACAGUCAUCUUAAGUAAGCUUUACUUAGUUUUUUUGAGGCAACGAGUUUCCAUAAUUUUUUUGAGUUCUGGGAACUAACAAGGCUGUACAGUGUACUCAAAAUGAGUAAGUUGCCCUAACUUGGUCAUCUUACGUAAACUUGAUCCAAUUUUUUUGAGUUCUGGGAACAAAUGAGCUUGUACAGAGUACUCAAAAUAAAUAAGUUGUCUUAACUUGGUCAUUUUUAGCUAAUCUUUACUCAAUUUUUUUGAGGCAACGAGUUUCCAUAAUUUUUUUGAGUUCUGGGAACUAAUUAGAUUUUACAGUGUAGCUGCAACUUCUCUUAAACACAUUCACGCCUGUGCAGAGUAUUUUCAGCAACUGGAAGAAAUCUUGGUUUGUCUUCUUUUUUUCACAAUAUGCUCUCUUUCAUGUUGUUUUCCUAUUGGUUGGAAUGCAGAUGUGGGUUUUAGCAGCAGUCACAUGGUUAUCUUAAAUUUCUGACAUUAUCAAAACUUUUAAUGAGACAUUUGAAAGCUUUUUACUGAUACAUUUUCAAUCUGAUGGCCUAUCUAUUGCUUCCUAAAAAAAAAGGUUUCAACCAUUUUUCCAAAGAGCUUACUGCACUGGAUUUGUGAGAAGAAAUCAGAAAUAAAAAAAAAAAAAAGAUGUAAAACAAAAACAUGGCUAAGCUAAAUGGGCGUUCUUGUGUUUUUUU